UUCGCCCUUAGAGUUUGAUCCUGGCUCAGGACGAACGCUGGCGGCGCGCCUAACACAUGCAAGUCGAACGGAGCUGAGAGAAGCUUGCUUUUCUUAGCUUAGUGGCGAACGGGUGAGUAACGCGUGAGUAACCUGCCCUGGAGUGGGGGACAACAGUUGGAAACGACUGCUAAUACCGCAUAAGCCCACGAUCCGGCAUCGGAUUGAGGGAAAAGGAUUUAUUCGCUUCAGGAUGGACUCGCGUCCAAUUAGCUAGUUGGUGAGGUAACGGCCCACCAAGGCGACGAUUGGUAGCCGGACUGAGAGGUUGAACGGCCACAUUGGGACUGAGACACGGCCCAGACUCCUACGGGAGGCAGCAGUGGGGGAUAUUGCACAAUGGGGGAAACCCUGAUGCAGCGACGCCGCGUGGAGGAAGAAGGUUUUCGGAUUGUAAACUCCUGUCGUUAGGGACGAUAAUGACGGUACCUAACAAGAAAGCACCGGCUAACUACGUGCCAGCAGCCGCGGUAAAACGUAGGGUGCAAGCGUUGUCCGGAAUUACUGGGUGUAAAGGGAGCGCAGGCGGACCGGCAAGUUGGAAGUGAAAACUAUGGGCUCAACCCAUAAAUUGCUUUCAAAACUGCUGGCCUUGAGUAGUGCAGAGGUAGGUGGAAUUCCCGGUGUAGCGGUGGAAUGCGUAGAUAUCGGGAGGAACACCAGUGGCGAAGGCGACCUACUGGGCACCAACUGACGCUGAGGCUCGAAAGCAUGGGUAGCAAACAGGAUUAGGUACCCUGGUAGUCCAUGCCGUAAACGAUGAUUACUAGGUGUUGGAGGAUUACCCCCUUCAGCCCCGCAGGUAAACACAAAAAAUAAUCCCCUUGGGGGAGUAGGACCGCAAGGUUGAAACUCAAAGAAAUUGCCGGGGCCCCGCACAAGCAGUGGAGUUUGUGGUUUUAAUUGAAAGCAACGCGAAGACCCUUACCAGGUCUUGACAUCCGAUGCAUAGUGCAGAGAUGCAUGAAGUCCUUAGGGACAUCGAGACAGGUGGUGCAUGGUUGUCGUCAGCUCGUGUCGUGAGAUGUUGGAUUAAGUCCCGCAACGAGCGCAACCCUUAUUGCCAGUUACUACGUAAGAGGACUCUGGCGAGACUGCCGUUGACAAAACGGAGGAAGGUGGGGAUGACGUCAAAUCAUCAUGCCCUUUAUGACCUGGGCUACACACGUACUACAAUGGCGUUUAACAAAGAGAAGCAAGACCGCGAGGUGGAGCAAAACUCAAAAACAACGUCUCAGUUCAGAUUGCAGGCUGCAACUCGCCUGCAUGAAGUCGGAAUUGCUAGUAAUCGCGGAUCAGCAUGCCGCGGUGAAUACGUUCCCGGGCCUUGU
rnacentral:rRNA from 1 species